CCGUUUUGGGUGCCUGCGUGUGGACAGACAAAACCGGAGUUUUAAGGUCCGCAGCGUCACUUUCCGCGACAAAAAAUGCUGACAUCACGUGUGCGACCUGUGUUUACACUAGCCGACAGCAUGGAUGCCCUCAGAGCUGCGCUCUCUUUAUCAAUUGUCCAAGCGCUUUUUGCUUGUUUGUUUUUGCAAGCGGAAUUACUGCUCCUUGCGGAAGACCACAGACGAAGGACGAGGUUAAGAACGGGGGAAGUACUGCCGCCUACAGGUCUGGCAUGUCCUUAACAACGUAUUUAUCCAGGUACGUGUGGACAGAGUUUUGUUUUAAAACGCGGUGGUGUGGAUGCAAGUUUUUGGAGGGGCGGAUAUUCGUUUUCAAAAAACCCGGCUACGUGUGGACUAGGCCUAAGUACCUGGAGCAGGUGGACCAGCUGUACGACGACUCCUUCCCCAUGGACAUCCGACAAUAUCUGAGCAGGUGGAUUGAGAGCAUUGACUGGGAUACGGUGGCAUCACAGGACUACCUGGCUACUGUUCGGUUUCACGAGCUCCUGGCUCAGCUGGAUGAUCAGCACAGCCGCUUUGCUCUGGAGAACAACUUCCUGCAGCAGCACAACUUCCGUAAGAUCAAGAGGAACCUGCAGGAUCGGUUUCAGGAGGACACCCUCCAUAUGGCCAUGAUCAUCUCCAGAAACUUGAAAGAGGAGCAGAAGAUCUUGGCCAAUGCAAAGGAUUCUGUGCAGGAGAAGGAGGGGACGGUUUCAGCCAUGGUGGUGGAGAAGCAGAAGCUGGACAACAAAGUGAAGGAGAUGAGAAACAUUGUUCAGAUUAUCGACCAGAACCUGAAGAAUCUGGAGGACCAGCAGGAUGAAUACGAUUUCCAAUUCAACACACUGAAGAACAGAGAGAACGACGUGAACGGCAUGACGCCAAAGGAGCUGGAGGCAGAGAAGUUAGUCAUCAUGAAGAUGUGCCUUGAACUGAAAGCCAAACGCCACGAUGCCGUGGUGUACCUGAAUGAACUACUGAAUGUCAUCCAGGGGUUGAUAACCGACCUGAUCUCCGAGGAGCUGCCAGAGUGGAAACAGCUGCAGCAGAUAGCGUGCAUUGGCGGUCCGCCCAAUGCUUGCGUGGACCAGCUGCAGGACUGGUGAGACCGUUGUUGUCCCACAAGCUUUAGAUAAACUUUAUUUUCUUCUGUUGAGUUACCAAGAAAUCUGAGACAUCAGGAGAAGGCAUCAAGCUGGAGUUCACAUCUGACAGACAUCUGGAUCUAGAAGUAUCAGAACAAUACACAAGGUUGGAGAUUAUGGUAGUUUUUGGAUCUAAUGGAACCUGAAUUUUCCCCCAAAUCCCUAAAAUUAGCGUUAAUAUCAAUCCAAGUCAAUUAAGAUUAAGGGUUUAAAUGAAGGUGAUGAGACCAGAGGGGCUUGGUGUGGUCCUGAUACAGGGUCUUAAAAAGUCGUAAAAGUCUUGAAUUUGAUGAAAGGAAAAUUAAGACCCUUAAAAGUCUUAAAUCGAUUUAGUAAAGUCUUAAAUUUGGUUCGUAUUGACGUGAUUUUAAAAUACGUUUGUCUCAUACUUGCAAACUUGACGCUUUUCAGCGAAAAUUGCCGUUUAUGAAACCAAAUGCUUUCACAUGAAUCAAAGAGUUUUUGUUUUAGGGAAGGUGAGUCUUUGGUCGGAUUUCAGUCGCUCUUUAUAAGAAUCAGUUUCAGAAAAAUGAGGAGUGUUCAUCCUCUUCACAAACCAUCUUUGUUAGUGGGUCACGAGUUGCCAUUUGACCAAUCACAGUCACGAAGACAGCUAGGGAAAAACGCUGUGGUAGCCGAUAUCACGGCACCGCUACUACUGUCGCCUCAACAUCUGGCAGCGGUUGGAACUUAAAGUUCGUAAAAUCGUCAAAAUCCCCUCCAGAUACGUCAGUUUUCUGUCCAGAACUUUAGCAGGUUUGUCUCCUUUCAGUUUCAGCCUUAACUGAUGUUUCCCGAGGCUUGUGCUCUUUUUUUUUGGAGGGGGCGGGAAGUUGAGUUCAAUCAAGUGUUGGUCAAAAACAGCUUUCCCAGUAAUUAGACAGGUUCAUCCUUACCUAAAGAAGAUUCUGGCAGACAAGGUGCUGCGGUUGUUGUUUCAGGUGCAUGCAGGCUAAACCCUAUAGGCACGUCUUCUCUACAUGUUAUAUAAGAGAUUUGAAAUCAAGAAGAAGAAAAACUUGCAAAACAAUAUGGAUCUGUUCUCAGUGAGAUGUUAUUAGUGGAAAAUAAACAUAAAUACGUCUAAAGACGUUACUGGUACUUUUACUAUCAUUCUGUUGUGGAAAGUCAGCACAAAUAUUCAGUGAAAACUUUAAAAUGCUGCUUAAACCUUCAUUAUGUUAUAGUGGGCCUGUCUAUAUUUAUAAAACCAGUUGAUUGUUUAAAGUAACUGUAACUAAAGUUACUCAGAGCCACAGUAGAAGGUCCAGCCUAAGUCACGCCGGGGACACACCGGCCGCCGAAGCGCCGGGAGGCGAAGUGCUCACGAAAUUUGGCCGCUGCUCGCUGCUCCUCAGUUCCGACCAGACGCUUGUUUCUCCGCUCCGGUCGAGGCGCGCCUCGUAGUUUUUCUUUUAAUCACUUGGUGUCCUCCAUUUCCUCUCCGCCUUUUCUCUGCUCUUUUCCUCUACACCCCCUCCCCCUUGCUGUGUGUGUGUGUGUGUGUGUGUGUGUGUGUGUGUGUGUGUGUGUGUGUGUGUGUGUGUGUGUGUGUGUGUGUGUGUGUGUGUGUGUGUGUGUGUGUGUGUGUGUGUGAACCUAUGGUGUGAACCAGUUGUUAAUAGCUGGCCUACGACUUUCUGCCUCUCUGUCCUGUUUGCUCCGGUUGAAAGACACCCAAAACCACACCCCCUUCACGUGGUCACACACACACACACAAGUUCGCUGUGUGUGUGUGGUUUUUAUGCAGCGUCUGUUUACAAACACAUUUGACUAUCGCGUAAUUUUAUUUUGAAAUGCUUACUUUGUUAAAUUUACCGGCCUGCCUCUUAUGUCUAGGUUUCACUUCCUGCCAGAAUUCACGCGGUUCACCCACGGCUCGCAAAAAAAAUAGAGCAGACGCCGAAACGAUCGCUGCACGGCACGGGCUGGAGCGCCGGCGCGCAGCGCUUCGAUUCGGCGGCCCAUGUGAUCUAUACAAUAGGAUAACAAGGGCGCUGAAUGAAGGCGGUCCCAAUUUCGCGGCGCUUCAGCGGCCGGUGUGUCCCCGGCGUUAAGCUGUGGUAACUGGAGAGGAACCGAGAAACAGUAUUAAACCUUGCUGUUUGCUUUUUCCCGUUUAAUUCAAAUAGAACAUAUAAGACAUCAAUUAUAUAAUAAUUGUAUGUAUAUUUAACAUUCAUGUUAUAGGUGAAAGGCAGAAUAGAUUAAAGAAAAAAACUUUAUCUGGUUACAUUGAAGCUUCACGUCCCACAGUGAGUAGUCUCUGUCUCACAUGUGGUGAGUUGGGAUCUGGUCAUCCUACUUAAGAAUGAUUACAGUAAUUUGGAAUAUUUUCAAAUGUUUUUAUGUUUGGUGUUUUGUGAAUUAGUUUCAUAAUAAUAGUUAGUUAUUAUAUGAUGAUCCCUAAUCAUUAUCUGAUUUGUUAUUUCAUUUUAUUAAAUUUAGCUCUCUUGAACAGUAGGACUGGUAGAAAAUAGCUUGCAUUUUGCAAAAACGUCACAUUAAAAAAUAUAUUUUUUUAAUGUUCUCAAUAAAAUAAAAGUAUAUAAAUGUCAGAGGUCACUACAAAACCCACUGUAGAAUAGAUGCACAUCUGCAGCACGUGAGGACAUUGUUUGGGGGGAGUUAUUUUAGUUGUCACAUUUUUCACAUCCUCGGAGUUCGUGGCUAUGAAAAAUAGAUGCAUGUAAACUAAAAAAAUAUAUCUUUUGUUCUUCUAUGCACGCGGUUUGCAUUUUUGUACCACGUGGCUUUACAUAUUAUUGCUACAGCCUCGCUGUCCCGGAUGUGACGUAACCAAGCCCCCACAAUGCGGCUCUAAAACUGGUCCCAACCCGGAAGAAAGAGAAAUUGCAGUUCCACCCUCAUCCGCUGGGGGCUGGUACCAAAAGCGAGCAAAUCCUCGUUGACUCCCAUGAUAAAAAUGCCAAUUUCACAGCAGAAAUAAACAUGUUUACAGCCUGGUACCAAAACAUGUUUUUUUGUCUAAAUUAUCUAGUUUAUACUCAUGACACCUCUGAGGGGGGUGAAUUUUUUUCUCACUCUUCUGUUUAAGUGCAUUGAAAGCCUAAAAUUCUGUAUAAUUAAUGAGCAUCCGACACACGUGACCGCCGCCUCAGACCCACGUGACCACAGAGCUAGCUCCGUGGAAAGGCCUCAGUACAGCCUCAGUGUCUCCUGGAAACUGUUUCGGGAUUUUGAGUCUCUGUGCUUGUGAAUUCUGUUUUGGAUAUGUUUGGUGCAAUUGUUGGACAAAAUGACUUGCUGUGGUAUUAAUUGCACUAAUAGAGCGUCCAAGGAGUCUCCACUUCAUUUUUUUCGGUAAGUUAAAAUCUAUAUUUGUAUUUUAUGUCACUGCCGCCUUUAAACUAGCUGAGUUUACCGAAGUAGCUAGCUAACUAUCAGUUUAACAUGUAGCAUGUACUGUUUAACCAUGAAAUUUAAAUGUAAAAUACGGUAAAAUAAUUAAUAGGGCAUAUUUCGAUGGGUAAAAGGGUAAAACCCAGUGCAUUUAAGAUAAAAAUGGGUUGAAAUAUGACGGAGCGCUUGGGAGGGACACUUCUGUGUUCCAUUGUUCCAUCCGGUACUCCGCAGCGGUCAGGCCGGGCAGCCUGACCGAUGCGGCGGCUAGCUUUUGCGCGGGCUGACCGCUCGUGUAGUUCUCGGACUCGGAGACAGAUCUGACCGUGGGGGAAACCUGAGUACCCGGAGGAAAACCACGCAUGCAUGGGGAGAACACGCAACUCCACGCAGAAAGGUCGCAGCCGAGUUUCAAACCUGCAACUUUCAUGCUGUGAGGCAACAGUGCUAACAACUGUGUCACCAUGCAGCCAUUGAUGCCCGAAUGUUGUUCCUGACAUCAGACACUGGUCCUCCAUGUAGGUAUCCACCAUAUAGAUCAGGAGAGGGGCAGUUUCAGGAGUUCUGGUCUGCUUCUGGUCCAGCUGCUUCUUUAGGUGUUGCUAUGAUCGUCCAUUAAGAGGUCUGUUUAUAGGUUCAUCAUUCAUUUUUGUCGGACGUUCCCUAAUCCCAGCCUCUAAUCCCAUUCCAGCAGCUGUUUUCCUGGUUGAGACUGCAGGUGUUCUGUGGCAGUGAGUGAAUCCUCACAUUAAGGUUAAAUCAUCCAGACUGGAGGCUCAGAGCAUGUAAACACAAGGUGUUUCCACAGGGAUGCUAUAGAUUUGUUAAGGGUUAACGUUCCUUAAUCCCUUCAAAGGCUUUGUCACAAUUUAGACAGCCUCUCCAAAGUGUUGGGAAGGGAACGCCGUGAUGUUUCCUUCACUCGGAGUCAUAUAGACAGCAUGAUGGUUUGUGUGAUCCGCGCGGUUUCACUUACACCCCUUUAAUGAUCAGGCUGUUUUUAUUAUUUUUAUCAGCUGAUAGCAGUUAAAAUUAUGGUAAAAAAAACUUUUAUCUGUUUUUGAUAACUUAAUGCAUCUUCUCUAGACAUUAAAUAUAACCCAAAUGUUUUAUUAUGAGCAGAUCUGAUGAAGGUGUAGACAAGAAGUCUGCAAAGUAAAACUUGUUUAGAGUCCAAACUCUUACUAAAGCUUUUGAAAAGAAAAAAUGGUUGAAUUUUGAGAAAUAUCCACAGCAGGGGAGCGAGACCUCUGAAAAAUGUAUAUUUUCUCUGAACUCAUAGAAUAAUGUGAGGAUUCUGGGAAAAGUUGGGAUUCUGAGAUUAAAACGUAAAUCUAUCUAAUCAUAAUUCUGGCAGUUUUUGUGUCCUGCUGUGGAAAGUCGUGCAACAUGAAGAUACUGAGAAGAUGCUUAAAACCUGUAUUUUUAUUCCAUCCAUAAAUAAAAUCAUGAGCUAUUUUUUUAAUCCAAAUUUGAUCCAAAGGGCCAUCGUUGGUUCCAGACCCGUUCUAGAACAUUCCUCUAAUCUUAAAGUCAUCAUCAGUUUCUUCCUUUUAACAAAUAUUUAUUUGUUAAAAUAUUUAAUAUUUAUAACUGGAAUAUUUGUUCCUCCCUCUCACACUGCAGUUAGUCCUGUCCUGCAACACUGUUUUUGCAGCUUAGUGAAGCCAACCAUGUCAGACUCGAAGACUGGUUUCGGGAGUACGAGCUUUAUUAGAGACUGCUGGCUGCAAGCGGUGCUGGAAAGGCUGGCGGAAGGAUGAGGUCUGAGUUAGACAGGUGGAGGUUAAGCUGUAUUAGCUUCUGAAUACUCUGAUCAUGGAACACGGUGGAACGAUGACUGAGUGAAGAGCCGGUGUGGCGUCUUCCAUAUAUACAGUGGGGCAAAAAAGUAUUUAGUCAGCCACCGAUUGUGCAAGUUCUCCCACUUGAAAUGAUGACAGAGGUCAGUAAUUUACAUCAUAGGUACACUUCAACUGUGAGAGACAGAAUGUGAAAAAAAAUCCAUGAAUUCACAUGGCAGGAUUUUUAAAGAAUUUAUUUGUAAAUCAGGGUGGAAAAUAAGUAUUUGGUCAAUAACAAAAAUUCAACUCAAUACUUUGUAACAUAACCUUUGUUGGCAAUAACAGAGGUCGAACGAUUACUAUAGGUCUUUAACAGGUUUGCACACACAGUAGCUGGUAUUUUGGCCCAUUCCUCCAUGCAGAUUUUCUCGAGAGCAGUGAUGUUUUGGGGCUGUCGCCGAGCAACACGGACUUUCAUCUCCCCCCACAGAUUUUCUAUGGGGUUGAGGUCUGGCGACUGGCUAGGCCACUCCAGGACUUUCAAAUGCUUCUUACGGAGCCACUCCUUUGUUGCCCGGGCGGUGUGUUUGGGAUCAUUGUCGUGUUGGAAGACCCAGCCACGUUUCAUCUUCAAAGCUCUCACUGAUGGAAGGAGGUUUUGGCUCAGAAUCUCACGAUACAUGGCCCCAUUCAUUCUGUCCUUAACACGGAUCAGUCGUCCUGUCCCCUUAGCAGAAAAACAGCCCCAAAGCAUGAUGUUCCCACCCCCAUGCUUCACAGUAGGUAUGGUGUUCUUAGGAUGCAACUCAGUAUUCUGCUUCCUCCAAACACGACGAGUUGAGUUUAUACCAAAAAGUUCUACUUUGGUUUCAUCUGACCACAUGACAUUCUCCCAAUCCUCUGCUGUAUCAUCCAUGUGCUCUCUGGCAAACUUCAGACGGGCCUGGAUAUGCACUGGCUUCAGCAGCGGAACACGUCUGGCACUGCAGGAUUUGAUUCCCUGCCGUUGUAGUGUGUUACUGAUGGUGACCUUUGUUACUGUGGUCCCAGCUCUCUGCAGGUCAUUCACCAGGUCCCCCCGUGUGGUUCUGGGAUUCUUGCUCACCAUUCUCAUGAUCAUUUUGACCCCACGGGAUGAGAUCUUGCGUGGAGCCCCAGAUCGAGGGAGAUUAUCAGUGGUCUUGUAUGUCUUCCAUUUUCUGGUAAUUGCUCCCACAGUUGAUUUUUUCACACCAAGCUGCUUGCCUAUUGUAGAUUCACUCUUCCCAGUCUGGUGCAGGUCUACAAUUCUUUUCCUGGUGUCCUUCGAAAGCUCUUUCGUCUUGGCCAUAGUGGAGUUUGGAGUCUGACUGUUUGAGACUGUGGACAGGUGUCUUUUAUAGAGAUAAUGAGUUCAAACAGGUCCCAUUAAUACAAGUAACGAGUGAAGGACAGAAAAGCUUCUUAAAGAAGACGUUACAUGUCUGUGAGAGCCAGAGAUUUUCCUUGUUUGAAGUGACCAAAUACUUAUUUUCCACCCUGAUUUACAAAUAAAUUCUUUAAAAAUCCUGCCAUAUGAAUUCAUGGAUUUUUUUUCACAUUCUGUCUCUCACAGUUGGUGUACCUAUGAUGUAAAUUACUGACCUCUGUCAUCAUUUCAAGUGGGAGAACUUGCACAAUCGGUGGCUGACUAAAUACUUUUUUGCCCCACUGUAGACAUGGAUGGCGCAGGUGCAACGUGGAGGGAAUCCCCGCGAGGGGCAUGCUGGGUAAUGUGGUCCGAGACAGAAGCUGGUCAGCUGGGAGAGCCCGGCCUGGGGGCUUGGACUCUGACAGGACCCCCCGGUCCAGGGACGGCUCCCGUAGUCCCCGGGCCACCUCGGUGGGCCCAGAAGUCCGAGAUGAGGGCAGGGUCCAAGAUGGAGCGAGCCAGCUCCCAGGAGCAUUCCUCGGGGCCGUAGUCCGCCCAAUCCACAAGGUACUGCCAACCCCGACCCCGGCGGCGAGCGUCCAGAAUGCGCCGGACGGUGUAGAUGGGCUCACCGUCGAGGAAGCGGGCCGGCGGAGGCGCUGGAGCCCGAGGCGGCAGGAGUGAGGAUUCCACAUAAGGCUUGAGCCGGGAGGUGUGGUAGGUGGGAUGGACGCGAAGGCUUGUAGGCAGCCGCAGCCGUUACGUGUCCGGGUUGAUGACCUUCUGCACGGGGUAGGGUCCGAGGAACCGGGGAGCAAGCUUCCUGGAACCGGCACGGACCCGGAGGACUGCCGUGGACACCCAGACCCUGUCCCCUGGAGCAUAGGAGGGACCCGGGCGGUGCCGGCGGAGGUGUUGGUGGGAGUAACGGGCGUUGGCCCGGGUGAUUGAGGCCCGCGCCUUGAUCCAUGCGUUCUUGCAGCGCCUCACCAGGGAUUGAGCGGCCGGCACCGCGACUUUGGGUUCCUGGUGGGCAAAGACCGGAGGCUGGUAGCCAUAGCAGACCUCAAAAGGGGACAUCUGAGUGGCCGUGGAGGUGUGGAGGUUAUGAGACAGCUCCGCCCAGAGGAGGUACUUAGGCCACUGCGAGGGCUGGGCCGAGACAAAGCAGCGGAGGUACCGGCCCAACUGUUGGUUUGCCCGCUCCGUUUGACCGUUGGUCUGUGGGUGGUAGCCCGAAGACAGGCUGACAGAAGCUCCCACUAGAUGGCAGAAGGCUUUCCAGAAACGGGCCGUGAACUGGGGACCACGAUCCGAGACCACGUCAACCGGGAACCCGUGGAGACGCACCACGUUCUCCAGAAACAGUUCUGCAGUGCGUCUGGCCGAGGGGAGGCCCGGGAGGGCGAUGAAGUGAACAGCCUUGGAAAACCGGUCAGUGACAGUCAGGAUGGUGUCGAGGUUGUUGACUGGCUGGAGACCCGUGACAAAGUCCAGCCCCACAUGGGACCAGGGGCGGCUGGGCACCGGAAGAGGUCUGAGAGUGCCAACCGGAGCCUGGGUGGAUGCCUUAGAGCGGGCGCAGACGUCACAGGCGCUCGUGAAUUCCUUAACGUCCCUCUACAUACGUGGCCACCAUAGAGCCCGUUUAAGGAACCUGAGAGUCCGAGAGAAGCCUGCGUGACCUGGGGACGACGAGGGUCGGAUGAAACCCUGCCGGAGGGCCUGGUCGAUAUAGUCCUCCAUAGCUCUGGACUCGGCGGGGGAGAGAGAAAAAAAGGCGCCCCCAGGUUGGACUGGUGCCUGGCUGGAGCUUGAUCUCCAUGUCUUAUGGACGAUGAGGUGGCAAUGCGGUGGCUCGCUGCUUAUCGAACACCGCGGCCAGAUCCUGAUAGGGCGGUGGCAGAUUGGGUGGCGCCGAACCGGAGCCACCUUCCGGGCAGUCAGGUCGAGGUGGAGGAGGAGAGAGGUGGGUCCGGCACUGGACCCCCCAUUCCAGAAGGCAAGCUUGGGACCAGGAGAUCCGUGGCUUCUGGAGGCGGAGCCAGGGAAACCCCAGGAUUAGAGGAGAGGAGGGAGCACAGAUAAUCAGGAAAUGGAGGUUCUCCCGGUGCCCCUGGACAUUCAUCUGGAGAGACUGUGUUCGGUUUUGGACAGGGUAAGGCUGGAGGGGCCUGCUGUCCACCGUGGUCACUGGUACAACCCUCUCCAAGGGGGUAGUGGGGAUCCGUAGCCGUUCAGCCAGAUCCACAUCCAUAAAAUUGUCAGCGGCCCCCGAGUCCACCAGCGCGUGCAUCUGGAGCGAGGUCUCGCCAUAUUGGAGGGUGACGUGCAGAAGGAGCCGAUUGGAAAGAGCAGGGGCUGGAGGUGACCCAGGCUGAGCGACCCCGAGACUCAGUGGGUUCCUUCGUUGCCCGAACGGAGGGGGCAGUUCAUGCGUCUGUGGUCGGGGGAACCACAAUAGGCGCAGAGGCCCUCGCGCCACCGUCGCUGUCUCUCCUCCCGAGGAAGGUGGCCCAGAUGCAUGGGCUCCUCAGUGGCAACGGGUCCGGGAGCAGGCGUGGGGGGAUGAGGAAAAAGUCCAGGCGCCCUGGAUGGGCAAAUGAGAGGCUUGGGCCGAACCAAAACCCGCUGAUCCAUGCGCAACGCCAGAUCCACAACUUCAUCCAGGGUCUGGGGUUGCUACUUUCCCGCCAUCUCACCCCGGAUGUAGGUUGCCAGUCCCUCCAAGAAGACGGCUCAAAGGGCAGAGUCAUCCCACCGCAGCUUGGCGGAGAUGGUGCGGAACUCCGACGCAUAUGCGCACACAGAGCGCUCCUUCUGGCGGAGUUUUAGGAGUCGUGUCUCUGCCCCCAUUUCGCUGCUGGGUGGAACAAAAGUCUUUCUGAGGGCGGCCACGAAUGCAGCGUAGUCAUUGCACUCCGGUGAUUUGGAGUUGUAGUGUGCAGCGGCCCACUCUGCCGUGCAUCUGGAGAGCAGGGAGGUGAGCUGUGCCACCCGAGAGCGCGCAUUGGGGAAGCGUCCUGGGUGGCACUCUAACUGCAUGUCGAGGGUAGCAAGCAGACCGUGUGGACUCCCCGUCUCUCCAUUCCACUUCUCCGGGAGACUGAAGUGUGGCUCUCCCGUCGGUGGAGUGAGGGCUUGCAACUUGAGCGCAUGAACCUGCUGCUGGAGUGCCGUGACGGCAGUAGACAUCUGCAGGGAGAGAUCGUCUGGGAGUUCAGCCUGUUGUUAAGCUGGUCGACCAGGGCGUGGAGCUGAAUGUUCUCGCUAACAACCUGCUCCAACUUCCUCUUCAUCUGCUCGAACUCCGCUGGAUUGAUGGACUCAGUCAUCCUGUCAGACUCGAAGACUGGUUUCAGGAGUACGAGCUUUAUUAGAGACUGCUGGCUGCAAGCGGUGCUGGAAAGGCUGACGGAAGGAUGAGGUCUGAGUUAGACAGGUGGAGGUUGAGCUGUAUUAGCUUCUGAAUACUCUGAUCAUGGAACACGGUGGAACGAUGACUGAGUGAAGAGCCGGUGUGGCGUCUUCCAUAUAUAGACAUAGAUGACGCAGGUGCAACGUGGAGGGAAUCCCCACGAGGGGCAUGCUGGGUAAUGUGGUCCGAGACAGAAGCCGGUCAGCUGGGAGAGCCCGGCCUGGGGGCUUGGACUCUGACAAACCAUCACUAACCUGGGGGUGGUUUUGGACCCAGAGAUGCAGAUGGACUCCCACAUUAGCCAGGUGGUCAGAUCCUGCUUUUUCCAGCUUCGCCAGCUACCAAAGAUGAAGUCCAUCCUGAAAGACGUGUCAUAUUUUCUCCCCAAGCCUGACCUGACCACAGAUAUACUGCAGCUCGGUGAGUUCGUAGAUAGUGCUUGAUGUUAGAAGUCUGUAUGCCAUCAGAUACACUUGCUCUUUUUUGGGGGGGUGAGGCUUAUAUUGCAGUGCGCUCGAGUCAGUAAUUUCCGGUAAGUAUUUUAAAGCCAUAUACUUAAUUAGUUCUUUGUAUGAAGUUUUCCUCUAGGUGAUCCAGAGAGGCUUGACCUUUGGGUGAGCAACCAAAGAAGAGAGUGCUGGACUCCCAAUUCAUUCUCCCGCUUGUGCAGUGAACACUUUGAGAGUCAUCACUUCACCACGGACUCCAGGGUGGAAAUGCUGUGUGAUUCCUGUGUCCUGUGGCCCAUGACUUGUGUCAGCCCGGUUCUGGAUGUGGCCUUGCUGAGUUCUCUGUAGCAAGGUUUUCUGGCGCUUGGGGCCGUUCCAGAGUGCACCUGGUCCUUGGCGGUCUCACACUUCACAUCCCAGCACACGCACGAACACAUGCUUGUUGAUGUUUGUUGUUCAUGAUGUUUGUGGUUCAUGCUUUACAUGUUUAUAGUUGUUCAUCCCACGUUUUCUUGAUGACUCUUAGAAAUGUUUCUUCACAGGUGCAGCUGCUGGUUGCUUUUUUUAUUUUGGUUUCCUAGUUGUAUUAAUUUUUCUCUUAUUUACUUGUUUAUCCUCUAUCAGCAGUGUUUAUUCCAGAUUGGUUCAGCAUUUACAUGCUGAUGUGGCGAUACAUAACCCAAACCAAUAUUACUCAAGGGGAACCUCGUACACAUUAAGGCUCCUCUUAAUAGAGCAAAUCUGUUCAGCACAUUCUGACAGACAGACCACCAUUCUUCUGUCAUGUUGCUGUACAUGACAUUUUUAGUUUUUCUAUUUAAAAAUAAGAAGUGUUUCAUUUAAAGAGCAAUACUUUCACGUUAUCACUUUCCCACACUUUCUUUUUACCUGUAUUUUGUUGUUUUUCAAUAAAGAAUGACAAAUUA